AGAGUUUGAUCCUGGCUCAGAUUGAACGCUGGCGGCAUGCCUAACACAUGCAAGUCGAACGGCAGCACAGUGGUAGCAAUACCAUGGGUGGCGAGUGGCGGACGGGUGAGUAAUGCAUCGGGACCUACCUGAACGUGGGGGAUAACGUAGGGAAACUUACGCUAAUACCGCAUACGUCCUACGGGAGAAAGCGGGGGAUCUUCGGACCUCGCGCGGUCAGACGGACCGAUGUUCGAUUAGCUAGUUGGUAGGGUAAUGGCCUACCAAGGCGACGAUCGAUAGCUGGUCUGAGAGGAUGAUCAGCCACACUGGAACUGAGACACGGUCCAGACUCCUACGGGAGGCAGCAGUGGGGAAUAUUGGACAAUGGGCGCAAGCCUGAUCCAGCAAUGCCGCGUGUGUGAAGAAGGCCUUCGGGUUGUAAA
rnacentral:rRNA from 1 species